rnacentral:rRNA from 1 species
UGACCUCGGAUCAGGUAGGGAUACCCGCUGAACUUAAGCAUAUCAAUAAGCGGAGGAAAAGAAACCAACAGGGAUUGCCUUAGUAACGGCGAGUGAAGCGGCAAAAGCUCAAAUUUGAAAUCUAACGCCUCUGGUGUUCGAGUUGUAAUUUGGAGAGGCAUCUUCCGGAGUGGCCCAGCCUAUGUACCUUGGAACAGGACGUCAUAGAGGGUGAGAAUCCCGUUCUUGGCUGGAUGUUCACUCCCGUAUGUAGUGUCUUCUACGAGUCGAGUUGUUUGGGAAUGCAGCUCAAAAUGGGUGGUAAAUUUCAUCUAAAGCUAAAUAUUGGCGAGAGACCGAUAGCGCACAAGUAGAGUGAUCGAAAGAUGAAAAGCACUUUGAAAAUAGAGUCAAACAGUACGUGAAAUUGUUGAAAGGGAAGCGCUUGAGACCAGAGUCAGCCUUUGGCAAACAACUGUCCUUCUGGGCGGUGCACUUGUCAUUGGUUGGGCCAGCAUCGGUUGGGACGGUGGGAUAAAGGCUUGGGAAAUGUGACUCCUUUAUGGAGUGUUAUAGUCCCAGGUGGCAUGCCAUCAGUCCCGACCGUGGACCGCGCCUUGGCUCGGAUGCUGGCU